rnacentral:rRNA from 1 species
GACGAACGCUGGCGGCGUGCUUAACACAUGCAAGUCGAACGGAAAGGCCCUGCUUUUGUGGGGUGCUCGAGUGGCGAACGGGUGAGUAACACGUGAGUAACCUGCCCUUGACUUUGGGAUAACUUCAGGAAACUGGGGCUAAUCCAGGAUAGGAGCUCCUGCUGCAUGGUGGGGGUGGGAUCGUUUCGGCGGUUGGGGAUGGACUCGCGGCUUAUCAGCUUGUUGGUGGGGUAGUGGCUUACCAAGGCAUGGACGGGUAGGCGGCCUGAGAGGGUGGCCGGCGACAUUGGGACUACGAUACGGACCAGACUCCUACGGGAGGCAGCAGGGGGGAAUAUUGCACAAUGGGCGGAAGCCUGAUGCAGCAACGCCGCGUGCGGGAUGACGGCCUUCGGGUUGUAAACCGCUUUCGCCUGUGACGAAGCGUGAGUGACGGUAAUGGGUAAAGAAGCACCGGCUAACUACGUG